CUGACCGUAUAAGAAGGCCACGUUGAGCGGUGGCGUUCUCAGAGGGCGGCCACCAGAGAGGGACGAGGAACCGCGUGCAGACAACAUGACUCCAUCCAUGAGGGGACUGCUCUGCUUCAUCGGCGUCCUGGCGUCGGGAAUUCUGGGAUCUUCAGUCUCACAGGUUCACUCGGCUGGUCGAGUGUCCCCGCGCGUCCAUCCAAGGACAUCUAAGGACAUCAGAUCUAUUGAACAAACUUCAGACGAAGUACGGAGUGCAGAAAGUUUUCAGGAGGUGCAGCUGGGUGAAUACACUGUGCGAGACUUCCAGCGGCAGCAGAGCGGCCGACCAGGUGCCAACAACCACCUGACGCAGGAGAGACGGAGACCUGACAGCGGAGUUGGUGGCAGUAAUUCCAGGGUUUAUCACCAUCAGCCUGCCCAUCAUCCGCUGCUAAAGAAAAACGAGCUGCCCUCACAGCUGCAACACAAUGCUGCACCAUUUGCAUCCUGGCAGCCUGCUAAAGACUCGAGUGGCUCUCCUGCAUCCAUCACGACUGCCGCAGCAACAAGGUCCAACUGCAGAAAUCGACCAAUAGAUCUGGUCUUUAUCAUAGACAGCUCCCGCAGUGUACGUCCUGCAGAGUUUGAGAAGGCCAAGGAGUUUCUGCAAGACAUGGUGGACACCUUGGAGAUUGGGUCCGAUGCCACACGUGUAGGCCUCGUCAAUUAUGCCAGCACAGUGCAGAUCGAGUUUCUGCUGAAGACCUAUUUUCACAAGUCCGCCCUGAAGCAAGCACUGGCCCGCGUUGAGCCCCUGGCUUCUGGCACCAUGACAGGCAUGGCCAUUAAGACUGCCAUGGAGAAAGCAUUCACCGCUGAGGCAGGGGCCCGAGCUAGUUCCAAGAACAUCGCCAAAGUGGCCAUCAUAGUGACGGACGGGAGGCCCCAGGACAAGGUGGAGGAUGUGUCAGCAGCAGCUCGUGCAUCUGGGAUUGAGAUCUACGCAGUGGGAGUAGACAGAGCUGAUAUGAUGUCCCUCCGCCUCAUGGCCAGCCACCCACACGAUGACCAUGUCUUCUAUGUGGAGACCUAUGGUGUUAUAGAGAAGCUCACUUCCAAAUUUAGGGAAACCUUGUGUGGUAAGGAUGAUGAUAACGGGAGUGCGGAUAUUCCAUUAAAUGGUGGAAUUGAUGGUUAUGGACUAGACCUAAAUGGAAUAAAUAAUGAAAAUGACGGUAAAGGAAACAACGGUUUGGAUGCUUGUGCCCAAGGACACAAUUGCCAGCACAUUUGUGUCAACAAUGGCAACUCAUACAGCUGCAAGUGUCGCUUGGGGUACGUCUUGAACCCGGACAAGAAAACAUGCUCACGUUCAGAUCCAUGUGCCCAUGGACAUGACUGCCAGCACAUUUGUGUAAACAGUGAUGACUCGUAUAUCUGCAAGUGUCGAGAGGGAUAUGUGUUGAACUCAGACCAGAAAACAUGCUCACGUUCUGAUCCAUGUGCCCAUGGACAUGAUUGUCAGCACAUAUGUGAAAACAAUGAGGACUCUUAUAUCUGCAGGUGUCGAGUGGGAUAUGUGUUGAAUAUAGACCAGAAAACAUGCUCACGUUCAGAUUCAUGUGCCCAGGGACAUGACUGCCAACAUAUUUGUGUCAACAGUAAUGACUCGUACAUCUGCAGAUGUCGAGAGGGAUAUGUGUUGAAUACAGACCAGAAAACAUGCUCACGUUUGGAUACAUGUGACCAAGGACAUGAGUGCCAGCACAUGUGUGUCAAAAAUGCUGAUUCUUACCUUUGCAAGUGUCAUGAGGGAUAUGAGUUGAACAGAGACCAGAAAACAUGCUCACGUUCAGAUGCAUGUACCCAGGGACAUGACUGCCAGCACAUUUGUGUCAUAAAUGGCGACUCUUACCUUUGCAUGUGUCCUGAGGGAUAUGUGUUGAAUGCAGACCAGAAGACAUGCUCACGUUUGGACACAUGUGCCCAUGGACAUGACUGCCAGCACAUUUGUGUAAACAGUGAUGACUCGUUCAUCUGCAAGUGUCAAGUGGGAUAUGUGUUGAAUCCAGAUAAGAAAACAUGCUCACGUUCAGAUACAUGUGUCCAGGGACACGACUGCCAACAUAUUUGUGUCAGCACCGAUGACUCGUACACCUGCAAGUGUCGAGAGGGAUAUGUGUUGAAUGCUGACCAGAAAACGUGUUCACGUUCAGAUCCAUGUGCCCAUGGACAUGACUGCCAGCACAUUUGUGUCAACAGUGAUGACUCGUAUAUCUGCAAGUGUCGAGAGGGAUAUGUGUUGAAUGCAGACCAGAAAACAUGCUCACGUUCGGGUUUGGAUGCAUGUGCUCAGGGACAUGACUGCCAGCACAUAUGUGUUAACAAUGGGAACUCGUAUAUCUGCAAGUGUCGUGUGGGAUAUGUCCUCAACAUGGAUAAGAAAACAUGCUCACGUGAGAAAAUUCUUCCUUUCAACAUUUUUACAAUAUCUCAAGAUGUUUUGUGUCGUUCUGUAACAGGUCCAAGAACUACUGAGUCACUUGUAUUAUGCUUUACACAUGCAUGUCAUGGUUUGGCUGAGGAUUCCGUGAAUAUUAUGGGAAUUGUAGCCAAGUGCUUGUUGACUCAGUUACGAAGCCAGUUAGAUGUGGGAGUGUCUCUUUGCAGGCUCGGACGCAUGUGCUAGGGGACAUAGCUGCCAGCAUAUUUGUAUCAACAAUGGUGAUUCUUACAACUGCAAGUGUCGAGUGGGAUACGUGUUGAAUGCAGACCAGAGAACAUGCUCACGUAAGAAUUAGCUUUUUUCAUCUUGCAUAAUGGUGUGUGCGUAUUGUCUAUUGAAACAUGUACUGAGCUCAUCCUGACUGAGCACUAACCUCCCAAGAGCUGUGACAUAAAUGGACAUGGUUUCUGUGAGUCCUCCAAACAACUGUAUCAGGCAAGGGUUCAUCAGCUGACCAGGGGCUGGUUAAAUGCUCUUUCCCUAUGAUACUUGAAGAGGCUUUAACAAAGACGGGUUGAUCCAUGAGCUUGACUUGACAAAAGCCAUUCUCAAACCAUCCAAAUCUGUGCAAGACGAUUUAAGUGGUGGAAAAGUCUGUAGUUGACAUCAACCAGAGCUACUGUGUCCAGCUACAAUCAAUACAGCACUUCUACUGGUCCAGCCAUUUACAGCACAGUUUAUAGCACAUACAUGUGAUGUGCUGGUGUAAGGAAUGAGAGACUGUGAGCUCACUGUGAACCUUGGUCUGAAUAUAGGACCAAAGAACAAAAAAGAAAUUGGUUGUAAUUUAUUUGCCUGUUGUCUUUUCAGUGAUUUGCUAUAUUACAUGUAUGUGAGUAUAUUGCUUAAAUGAUUAAGAUGUUAAUUAAAGCUAACCACCUAUAAGACUUCCUAGUUUGUAAUUAACUAGUUGAAGUGAUUGAAAUACUAUAAUAUAAUAUAUUUUCUAAUCUCCCUCACAAAAGAAAAAUCAUGAUUGUAUGUAAUCUCAGCUAUACUAUUGAAUCAAUAUUGAUUGUGAUCAUUUAACUUUAAUUUUGUCAGCUUCCAAAUGUUCAUUCUGAACAUCAGCAUCGAGUUUUUAAAAAUGUUUGCUUUUCUCUACUGAGCAUCCAAAUGAAAUGUUACGAAGAGGCUACACUGAACACCACUCGUUUGCUGAGACUUUCUCUAUAUUCUCAUUCUUUCAGAGGAAAUGAGAAGUGAAAUAACCCAAGAUGCCUGCAUGUGUGAAGCUCAGAUUGUGUUCCAGAAAAAAGUACAGUCAACCAUUCAGGAGCUGAGCCGAAAAC